CCCGCAGCAAUCCUGGGAAACUGGCCCCGUGACGUCAGGGCCUGGGUAAAUAUUAUCCAGCGUAGAAAGCCGCCUGCAGGGGGCGCUGUCCAGAAAAAAGGGCCUGGAUCAGCACCACAUGCAGAAGACCACAUCAUGAUGUCUGGUCGGAGAGCUGAUGGAUGGAAAAAGAUGCAUGAAGAUCAGCAGUCAACUAUCCAGUAAUAGUUAAAGCAAUAUUAUCUGUUAGGACUGUGUGUUGCAGCAGGAGCUGAAGGUUAGUUUGGUUUGUAGGAAUCUUUACUCUGAGUUCAUUAAAAAGCUGAGUUGAUUCUUCUUUGCAAGAAGUGGCCCCAUUUUGAGGAAAAUUUCUGGAGGUGUCUUGUCUUUAGCAUAAAACUGCAAAAUUAUGUUUUGCCAAAGAAACCUGAUGAAUUUUAUGUGCACCGUGUUUGGUCAGAUGAGACUAAGAUGCAUUUAUUCAGCUCUGAUGCGAUUCAACAUGUUUGCAGUGAAACUGGUCAGGACUACCAUAAUGAAUGCAUAGUCCUGACAGUGAAGCACUGAGGUGGAAAUGUGAUGAUACGGGGCUACAUAAGUGCAAAAGGUGUUGGAGAGACGACAUUUAUAGAUGCACCAUGAAUGUCUGUACAUAAUACUGGCUGAAAAAAAGGACUCCCAGUCUGCAGAUGCUUGGCAAAAGAGGAAUAUUCCAAGAUGGUAACAAUCCAAGGCACACUGCCAAAACCACACAGGAGUUUCUAAAGAAGAAACAGUGAAAACUAUGACCUGCACAAGUAUGUCAUCUGACUUGAAUCCAACAGAACACCUUCAAGGUAUUUUAAAGAGAAAGCUGGAGCAACACAACCCCUCCAGCAAAGUGUCAAAGUGUCAGCAUUUGAAGAAACCGAUGCUGAAGUAAUGAUAUUAUUAAUGUAUAACGUGAAAAGAAGAGGACCGAGGACAACGCUCUGUGGCACCCCAUCUCCAGCAGCAACAACAGUGUGAUUUCUCUCUGUAAGGUUGAAAUGGAGACAAACUGGGUGGCAAAUUAUAUAUAUGUACAUGUUGAAGUUGUACUUUACCUCAUCAUUUUUCCUCUACAAAUAGAGUUUCUUGUUA